rnacentral:rRNA from 1 species
UACGUAGGGGGCCAGCGUUGUCCGAAGUUACUGGGCGUAAAGAGCGCGUAGGCGGGUCUUUAAGUGAGGGGUGAAAGGUUCAGGGCUCAACCCGAACACUGCCUUUCAUACUGGGGACCUUGAGUGCGGGAGAGGCGAGUGGAAUUCUUGGUGUAGCGGUGAAAUGCGUAGAUAUCAAGAGGAACACCCAUGGCGAAGGCAGCUCGCUGGCCUGCAACUGACGCUGAGGCGCGAAAGCUGGGGGAGCAAACAGG